rnacentral:lncRNA from 1 species
UUCUCAUUUUCUCUUCUUCACAUCUGACUUGGGAGCUCUCUCAAGCAUUGGGACUUUGUCUUCUUUGUUGAAAAGAUAGCAAGGACCCUUAGUGAGCAUUCUUUCAUUCUUUUAUUUGCUUUUUCCUUAUGUAGUGCAGAAAGUCAAACGUUUGGCCAACAGUUUGACUUUCGGUUUUGACCAUCAAUUGGUCAAGUCAAAGUUCAAUUGAACUUUGAAACGUGAUUGUAAUCACGAUAGUUAUAAUCCUUCGUGAUUAUAGUCGCUGAUUACCACGUUAGCUAGUUGUAGUGUCGAGUCAAAGUUUCGGUCAAAAUGCGUUUUAGCACGCAUUUUGCAACGGAACUACUUUAGGGUAUCAAAACACUUUGUUUUGAUACCAAAUCAGUAGGUUAAACAUGUUUUGACAUGUUUAACUCGACACUAUUAGUUUGUGCUUGUUUAGAGUCGUAAGUCGAGCGGCCUAAACCACCGCUUAGACUUUCGAACUCUGCCCGUUUGGUCGAUCUUUAGGAUCCGACCAAGCAUGGUUAGUGACCAUAGUUGCAUAGGGAAUAACCUUCCUAGGUUAUACCUUAUGGUCACCGAGUUUAAGUAGUUGUAUGAUAGGUAGAUUAUAUGCCUUAGGUAAAUUACCAAAAUGCCAUUUUCAUGCAUAAUUGGACUUUAAGCAUAUGUAACCUAACUUUUGUCACCUAAACUGAUUAUUCAACCUAUUUAAACAUGUUUAGGCAUAUAAUACUUGUCAUAGGACUAGUUAGACGUCUCGAACGCGCGUUGCGCGCACGACGCGCUAAAGUGGCGUAAGCUACCUUAAUGGGCCGUGAUGGGUCGAAAGCACUUAGGUUAGGUUCCGAUUUAGAAUGUAGGCUUUGUUAAACCAUAUCACAUGAGUUCCUACACUCAUUUGGUUUACAAGACCUCAUUCUUUCCGAUCUUCCGAUUUAGGCGUCUGUUGUUUGACUAGUGAUCCGAUACUAGGUACCACUUGAUUCCUUGAUUGCGCGAGCAUUGAUAGUUCACAAAAUCAGGGAUACCCUACAAUCUCAAGUGAGUACAUAGUUUCCCUAUUUUAUUUUUUUCAAUUGUUUUGGGGUGAUUCAUAUGUACAAAACGAAUUUCAAGGUUUACUUGAGGAUUUCAAAAACAAUGGUUUAUACUAAACUAAUAACGAUUUCAAUAAGGUGAACAAGACUUGUUGGUUGUAUUUACAUAACAAAUGACAUUCAUUAGCUCUGAUCAAGCCGACCAGUAUUAGGUUAUGGUACCAUAGGAUUUGACAAAUCCUGUUAUUAGACUACACCCAUUGUUAUGUGUGGGGGUUAUGUAGAUAAUGACCGAAUCUGUUAUUGUUAACUUACCCUUUGGUGGUUUGUUAAUGCGAGAAACGAGUUAGACGAGUCACAAAGGUUUGAAUGUUGUUAGCAAGACGACCAAAAGUAGUUUCACUAUUAAAACGAAUACGAUUUUGGGACGAGUUAAACAAUUUGAAACGAGAUACAAGAUUUGAAACAAGUUAGACGAAUUAAACGAUUGGUUUUGGGUAGUGAUUAGUUAAUGGGACGGGUGUAGUAUGAUAGAAUCAUGGUAGAUACGCCGCUGGUACAUCUUAUAUAUAAAUGCUUCUAUCAUAUUACAUUGUGUGUCAUUAUUUAGUUCACUGGGGAAACGAUUUUGAAACGAUGUCACACAACGAGGUUUUCAAAACGAUAUAAACCAUACAAGUUUUAUUAACGAGUUUUUACGAGAUGUUUACAAGUUGUUAUACUUAAACCAAUGUUUUUGAGCUAAGAGUCAUGGCUACGAGAUUUUAUAAACUAUAACCAAUUUGAUUUGAGUUGGUUAAUUAUGUUGCAAUACACUUUUCUAAACGAGGUGGUAUUGCUUGAUGUUGCUUGCUAGGAAGCUUGUAUCACUUAGGACCUGGACGAGGCCUUAGUGAUUUAAAAACAGUUAUAAACAAUAUGUAGUUUGUUUGUUUUGAUUUAAAGACAAUGUACAUUACAUAAUAAUUCAAUAAAACAAAACAUUUGGUUACCAUGGUUGUGAAACAAUAAUUCUGUUGCAACACUCCUCGACGUUUCCGCCACGGUUUGUUGUUUUAACGUGGUCAGGGUGUGACAUUGGACAACCUUGGUAUCUUACCAUUACUAUACUAUGCCAACGAUGGGUGCAUUUGCCCUAGCAUGUUAUAGAGAAUGAUAGUGUUAUAUCGUGUUUUAUAAAUUUAAAGCUUGUUAAAAGAGUAAAAGGUACUUAAA